CUNACCAUGCAGUCGAACGGUGAUGGCCAGCUUGCUGGUCUGAUCAUGGCGAACGGGUGAGUAACACGUGAGCAACCUGCCCCUUCNNUCUGGAAUAACCACCGGAAACGGUGGCUAAUACCGGAUAUGAGACGUACACGCAUGUGUCGCGUCUGGAAAGAUUUAUCGGUGAAGGAUGGGCUCGCGGCCUAUCAGCUUGUUGGUGGGGUAGUGGCCCACCAAGGCGACGACGGGUAGCCGGCCUGAGAGGGCGACCGGCCACACUGGGACUGAGAUACGGCCCAGACUCCUACGGGAGGCAGCAGUGGGGAAUAUUGCACAAUGGGCGCAAGCCUGAUGCAGCGACGCCGCGUGAGGAGAGAAUGACGGCCUUCGGGUUGUAAACCUCUUUCAGCAGGGAAGAAGCGCAAGUGGUGACGGUACCUGCAGAAGAAGCGCCGGCUAACUACGUGCCAGCAGCCGCGGUAAUACGUAGGGCGCAAGCGUUGUCCGGAAUUAUUGGGCGUAAAGAGCUCGUANGCGGUUUGUCGCGUCUGCUGUGAAAACCUAAGCUCAACCUUGGGCUUGCAGUGGGUACGGGCAGACUAGAGUGCGGUAGGGUGACUGGAAUUCCUGGUGUAGCGGUGGAAUGCGCAGAUAUCAGAGGAACACCGAUGGCGAAGCAGUCACUGGGCCGCAACUGACGCUGAGAGCGAAAGCAUGGGGAGCGACAGAU
rnacentral:rRNA from 1 species